rnacentral:rRNA from 1 species
GAGUUUGAUCGUGGCUCAGAUUGAACGCUGGCGGCAGGCCUAACACAUGCAAGUCGAGCGGAUGACGGGAGCUUGCUCCUUGAUUCAGCGGCGGACGGGUGAGUAAUGCCUAGGAAUCUGCCUGGUAGUGGGGGACAACGUUUCGAAAGGAACGCUAAUACCGCAUACGUCCUACGGGAGAAAGCAGGGGACCUUCGGGCCUUGCGCUAUCAGAUGAGCCUAGGUCGGAUUAGGUAGUUGGUGGGGUAAUGGCUCACCAAGGCGACGAUCCGUAACUGGUCUGAGAGGAUGAUCAGUCACACUGGAACUGAGACACGGUCCAGACCCCUACGGGAGGCAGCAGUGGGGAAUAUUGGACAAUGGGCGAAAGCCUGAUCCAGCCAUGCCGCGUGUGUGAAGAAGGUCUUCGGAUUGUAAAGCACUUUAAGUUGGGAGGAAGGGCAGUAAGUUAAUACCUUGCUGUUUUGACGUUACGACAGAAUAAGCACCGGCUAACUCUGUGCCAGCAGCCGCCGUAA